AUUGAACGCUGGCGGCAGGCCUAACACAUGCAAGUCGAGCGGAGCGGCGGACGGGUGAGUAAUGCCUAGGAAUCUGCCUGGUAGUGGGGGAUAACGUCCGGAAACGGGCGCUAAUACCGCAUACUAUCAGAUGAGCCUAGACUGGAUUAGCUAGUUGGUGGGGUAAAGGCCUACGAAGGCGACGAUCCGUAACUGGUCUGAGAGGAGGAUCAGUCACAGUGGAACUUGGACACGGUCCAGACUCAUACGGGAGUCGGCAGUGGGGAAUAUUGGGCAAUGGGCGAAAGCCGGAUCCAGCCAUGCCGCGUGGGUGAAGAAGGUCUUCGGAUUGUAAAGCACUUUAAGUUGGGAGGCGUUACCAACAGAAUAAGCACCGGCUAACUUCGUGCCAGCAGCCGCGGUAAUUC
rnacentral:rRNA from 1 species